GACGAACGCUGGCGGCGUGCUUAACACAUGCAAGUCGAACGGAAAGGCCCUGCUUUUGUGGGGUGCUCGAGUGGCGAACGGGUGAGUAACACGUGAGUAACCUGCCCUUGACUUUGGGAUAACUUCAGGAAACUGGGGCUAAUACCGGAUAGGAGCUCCUGCUGCAUGGUGGGGGUUGGAAAGUUUCGGCGGUUGGGGAUGGACUCGCGGCUUAUCAGCUUGUUGGUGGGGUAGUGGCUUACCAAGGCUUUGACGGGUAGCCGGCCUGAGAGGGUGACCGGCCACAUUGGGCCUGAGGUACGGCCCAGACUCCUACGGUCGGCAGCAGUCGAGAAUCUUGCACAAUGGGCCGAAGCCUGAUGCAGCGACGCCGCGUUCGGAAUGCCGGCCUUCGGGUUGUGAACCGCUUUCGCCUGUGCCGAAGCGUGAGUGACGGUAAUGGGUAAAGAAGCACCGGCUAACUACGUG
rnacentral:rRNA from 1 species